rnacentral:rRNA from 1 species
UACGUAGGGUGCGAGCGUUAAUCGGAAUUACUGGGCGUAAAGUGUGCGCAGGCGGCCGCGCAAGUCGAGUGUGAAAUCCCCGGGCCCAACCUGGGAACUGCAUUUGUGACUGCAUCGCUGGAGUGCGGCAGAGGGGGAUGGAAUUCCGCGUGUAGCAGUGAAAUGCGUAGAUAUGCGGAGGAACACCGAUGGCGAAGGCAAUCCCCUGGGCCUGCACUGACGCUCAUGCACGAAAGCUAGGGGAGCGAACGGG